UUGAGAAUGAAAUGUUGUUGACGAUCUCAUACCUCUCACUCCCUCUAGAACUUUCUUCUUCACCGCCUUUAAAAUCUAAUAUCUCCCUCACACACUCUCUCUCCUCCACAUCACAACACAAAUAUCAGUAGGCGAAAUCGUGAUCUUCGUUUACGCCUCAAAUUACUCGCUCAACUCUUUCGAAUUUCGUGAUCGUAUAAGGGGGAAAGAAAAGACUCCGUUUCGGCUCUCUGUUUCAAAAAGAGUCAUUGGAAAGUGGAGCCUAAAUCAAGUAAGCAAAUUAAGGGCAUGGAAGGAGUGAUCGUCAAAGAGGAAGAAACGCUGACAUGCACGGCGGGUUCAUCGUCUUCAUCUUCAAGCGUGACACCGCAACCGAUUGAAGGUUUACAUGAGGUUGGUCCGCCUCCAUUUCUAACGAAGACCUUCGAAAUGGUUGAAGACCCAACCACAGACUCCAUUGUGUCAUGGAGCACAUCUCGCAACAGCUUCAUCGUAUGGGAUUCCCACAGGUUAUCCACCCACCUUCUUCCUCGCUACUUCAAACACAGUAACUUCUCCAGCUUCAUUCGCCAGCUAAACACUUAUGGUUUCAGAAAAGUUGAUCCUGACCGAUGGGAAUUUGCAAACGAAGGGUUUCUAGGAGGGCAGAGGCAUCUACUCAAGACUAUAAAGAGGAGAAGACACGUCUCGCAGAAUGUGAACCAACAAGGAGGAGCUUGUGUGGAAGUGGGUCAAUUUGGUUUGGAAGGUGAGUUUGACCGACUGAAAAGAGAUAGGAACGUGUUAAUGGCAGAGAUUGUGAGGUUGAGGCAGCAACAGCAGAGUUCAAGAGAGCAAGUCCUUGCCAUGGAGAAUCGCUUACAGAACACCGAGAAGAAACAGCACCAGAUAAUGGCUUUCCUUGCUAAAGCACUACACAGUCCAACUUUCAUUCAGCAAUUCCUUCAGAGGAAUGCCGAGGGAAGAAACUUACAUGGGGUCGAAAUUGGACGGAAAAGGAGACUGACUGCGAGCCCCAGUGUGGAGAAUUUUCAAGAAGAGGUUGUAUCGUUGGCUGCGGCUUCUUCUGACCAAGCUAUGAACUAUGGAACGAAACAAGAGCAGGAAGAGUUUCCAACGAUGGAGUCAGAGAUCGAGACAUUUUUCUCUGCUGCCUUAGACAAUGAAUCCAGCAGUGCCAUACAGGAUCCUAAUGAAAGUUCAAUACCAACAGCUAUUGGUGGAAACUUAGACUCUGUAGAUGAUCAGGGAAUAUGGGAGGGACUAUUGAGUGAUGAUCUGGUUGGCGGAAACGCAGAUGAAGAAGCUGUAGUAGUAGGUGGUGAAUCAGAACUGGAUGUGGAGGUGGAGGAUUUGGUUGCAGAGCCUGAUGAAUGGGGCGAGGACUUGGAAGAUCUUGUGGAUCAAAUGGGUUAUCUCAGGUCCAAGCCUUGAUGAUGGAAAUAGUGUAGUUGUUAUUGUAUGCUAAAAAGUUGGUCGUUUGCAACUCCAUCCCUGCACUUGAUGUUGCAGGGGAAUUGUGGAAAUUGCAAUCAGGCCAACGGGUGUCGCUGUUCUUCUGUAUCCUUUUAACAGUCAUUUUAGUUCCAUGAAAUUUUCCUUCAUAUAUAUUUUUUUUUCGUUUUUCUAAUGUGCAGCUGGUUUUUGAUUCUGUCUUUUUCAUUGCAGGCGGACUCGCCAACAGAGUGCUAUGAGGAACAGGAGUUCCAUUCGUUGAUCCAUUUUCAAGCAACUGUUUCCGUCUUUCAUACCGUGAUGUAAUUAUAGUUUGGCCUCUUAUAAGCUUUUGUGCAGUGGAUUUAUUCAUGUAAAAAGCGGCUGGCAUGAUAGGCUAGCCAUAGAAGUAAGAUGGAAUAGUCUGCUUGUUGUAAUUGCUGAGAAAUGGUUUGUAGUUUGGAAUCACAGGUUUCCCAUAUUCAUUAGUUUUUGUAAUAUAGUUUAGCGGAGUAAACCAACUAGAUAAACAUCUUAAUCAUAACAGUGAGAUUUGAGAAGCCAUUUUUAGUGUAUUGAAGUAUGCACAUUCUCUCAGCGACCCAGCAGUUCAUGGUUUUUUGGAUGGUGUUGUAGUCCUCCUAAUGCCUGAUCGAGAUCGUUUUGUAGGACGGCUCGAUGUUAGACAAGUCUAGGUUAAAAAAUGUAAUACAGCUGGAUUUUAUGCUUAUAGAAAAUCAUCAUUCAUA